GGACCAGGUGUGUGCGCACUGCUAUUCAAUGAGGACAGAAUUUUUUGCCCCGUGCUUGUUGCAAACAGCGAAUUCAGUGAAGACAUCUUGAUAUGAAGGCUGAAGAGUAGAACGUUUUGAUGGAAAACGGUGUAAGCAGGUGUGUCGCCUGCAUGAACCGGCCGGAUGUGACGGCAGCCAGAUUCGUCGUUAAUCAGCAGAUAGACUGUCCGUCACUGCGUCUGAUGUUCCCGCGAAGGUUGUUCAGUGGCUUGAAGCGAUGGCAAAGCGGUGGCUGCUCAAAUUAACGCCUCGGCGUCCGCAGUGUGCGAGCUCCGUGAUGAAAAUGUGUCAUUUCAUGAAGUGGUGCUACGUGGCAGCGUCUCGACCGGUACUGAUUUUUCGCCGUUACGCGGGCGCAUACUCCCUUGCAGUAACACAGUCUUUCGCUGGCGUCAGGCAGUGGCAGCAGUGACAGUCCCACUGGUCGACCCAGUGCAUGCAGCAAGCGAGCGGACACUGCGUCUAGCCGCGUUCGGUGCUGCCAUAGAGCGUCUGUCCAAGACCAGCAACAGGCCCUUUUGCGUCCCGUUUGGCUCCCACUGCAGCGGCAUCCUGGGACUACUGGCACGUCUGCUCGUCAACAAGGCGGUUAAGUGCACUCGGCUGAAAACCAGACGCUGCUCGGACUGACAGGGACCACUCAGAACUGCGACCGGUCUUCGAUUGUUCGGCACCAUGAUUCCGGAACGGUGGCUAUCCUGCAUCAACAUGAGCAGCACACCACUGGGCUAUGAACACGGCUGACAAUGGCAAUCUUGCCGCCCGUGUAUCAAGCAUCCAGGACGAUCACAACGCCGCACCUGCGUCGUCCCUUCGGCCAACCAGUGACAGCAGCGACAUCGGAAGAAGCGUACAAAAGGCCGCAGCAAGCGCAAGCCCUCUUCAGUGGUGGCGCCGUCAAGGUCGCCAUGAAAAACUACUUCUUGCACAGGCUGCGGGAUGCUGCUGCGGCCGCUCACGGUGCUGGUGCUGCAGUGCUCGAGCGCCGGCAAGAUGCUCAAGAUGGCGGCCGCCAGCGCUCUCUGCCCCUCCCCAUACCGUAUAACGAGACCAAGCGCUGUCCAUACCAUGACCCUGUGCUCGUGCCUUAUGGGCAGCCCUCGAAGAGGAGCGGUUCUUGCGGGAGCACGGCUCCGUCGCCCUCGCACCCCAGCGGGCCGUGAUUGGCUGCCCUCUGCUGCGCCAUCGGUAGAACCCUGGGCACCGUUUCGCCACGCUGGGGCCGAGAGAUGAUCGCCGCUGCCAUUUCGCACGUGCUACUGCCCGCACUGGCAGUUGCUUGUUCACGGACCCCCUCGGAGCAUGCGCCAUUUUGUGACCGGUUUUUGGAUCAGCGAGGCGUCGCACAUGACUGCGCUUUUCCGGUCACCUACGUACUGCCAGCGCAGCGAUGGAUGCUCAAUUCAUCGUGGGUUCCUGCAUCGACAUCGACGCUCUCCAGCUCGUCCACUAUAAAAGACAGCUUACCGCUCCGGCCGCUCUGUGGGCUCGGUGGCUGCGCCACGACACUGUCGUCUAACCCACUGGUUUUCGCCAUGCAGGUUGGUACAAGGCACAGCCUUUUUGCUAAGAGGUGUAGCGACUAUUGUCUGGUGAAGUUUCCGAGCCCCCAUUGCUGCCUUGCUCUUAUGGGUGAAUGUGUGGAAGUGAUUCGCCGCUUACUAAUACUCUCUGGCGACGUUGAAACUAACCCGGGACCCGACACGAAUGUUGUGUUGAAAGAAUUGCAGAAGAUUUCAGCCAGUCAGAAUACACUAAUCAGUGAAGUUCAAGGUUUAAAAAAUCAGAUUUUAAAUACUGAUAAGAUUCUAAUGGACCUUAACAAACGAAUGACCGAACUGGAACAUCAUUACCAGGCCAUGAUUCCACUUCAAAAUGAAUUAGAAGCCCUCAAAUAUGCCGCUGCUCAAACUUCCAGCGUGAUAUCCGGCCUCGAAAAUCGCCUAGACGAUGCAGACAACCGGUCCCGAAGGAAUAAUCUAAUUUUCUAUGGCCUUCCUGAUACUAAUCCUAAAGAA